GAGCUUUCAUGCAUUAUGUUUCUUAUGCAAAUAAGUUGACUUCCUUUUCAGGUUAUACGAGAAAUCCCCACUAUUCCUGGGUUUUAUGAAUUAUGGGACGGAGCAUACAAAGCAUCACCAACCUUCUCACUUCUGUCCACCCAAGUAUUUAAACCCAAAAGAAGUAUGGAAAUGCAUUCUUGAAAAGAAAGCUAACCACUCUACAUUCCACAACAGAGACCAUGUUGACUGUGCUGUGUGAGUUGCUAGGCAACCACUUGGUAAUUCCCCAUGUAAUAGAGAUGAACCUGUCAUCUGCUUUCUUAGCUAUAUGUGACAAGAAGAGACAACAGGUAAAGGACAACCAAGAAUACCUGCACCUGGAUGACACAGUCACUCCUGAAGUAUGGUGACACUGGAGAAAAUCCCCAUGCCCUGUCACAAGUUGCUGGAGGGUGAAUUUCAUUAAACUAUUAGCACAAGA